UACGUAGGGUCCGAGCGUUGUCCGGAAUUAUUGGGCGUAAAGGGCUCGUAGGCGGUUCGUCACGUCGGGAGUGAAAACUCGGAGCUUAACUCCGAGCCUGCUUCCGAUACGGGCAGACUAGAGGUAGGCAGGGGAGAGCGGAACUCCUGGUGUAGCGGUGAAAUGCGCAGAUAUCAGGAGGAACACCGGUGGCGAAGGCGGAUCUCUGGGCCUUACCUGACGCUCAGGCGCGAAAGCUAGGGGAGCGAACAGG
rnacentral:rRNA from 1 species